rnacentral:rRNA from 1 species
ACUCCUCGGGAGGCAGCAGUGGGAAUAUUGGACAAUGGGCGCAAGCCUGAUCCAGCAAUGCCGCGUGAGUGAUGAAGGCCUUAGGGUUGUAAACUGCUUUUAUGAGUGAAGAAUAUGACGGUAACUCCUGAAUAAGCACCGGCCAACUACGUGCCAGCAGCCGCGGUAAU